UUCUAUUUCUUGGAGACCCCUAAGAAACGGCCCACAGCACCUCCCAUUUCCAAGGCUUCUUCUUGAUUUUUUCAGAAAAGAAACGACAACAGAGAAAAGCUGCUCCCCCAUUUUCAAAAAGACAAACACAACAGGCACCACCCCUCCUUUGGUCUUCUUCAUCUUCAUCAUCUAAAAACACCAAAUUCCCUCCUUGUUUUUUUUUUUUCCAUUUUUUUGGACCAGAACGAGCUCCCCCAAAAAUUGAGGAGCCACCGCCUCCCCUCCCCUCCCUGAAAAGAACCAAAAAAUGGCGCAUUCCUCCUUCAACAGAGAACGAGAGGACAAAUGGAAAACUUUGAGAAUUUUUGGAAUUUCCUUUUGAUUCUUUCAUUUCUUUGGAUUUUUUAGAAAAAGGCAGAAACAUGUAAUAUGAUGCUUCUUUCUUUAAGAUGUUUGAUGUCCGAAAUUUUAACAAAAAAUUCCAAAAUAUUUUAAGUUUCUACUUCUUAGUUGAUUUGGGCUUCACAUAUGGAGGUUGAUUGAGUUGAGUUGCUGUUUGAAGUUGUUUCGCUUGAGUUCCAUCCAUUUCAGAUUUCGACUUUAGCUAUUGGCUCACCUUGCUCGUGUAAUUGCUGAAAAUUUCAGUCAAUCGAAGCUUUUUUUUGGUGUAAAGAAGAUGUGUUUGCUGGGUUUAUUUCUUCGGAUUUGAUGAGCUCUUCCUUUUCCUUCUCAAAUGCACAUUAUGGCAAAGAUCCAUGCAUUUUCGGGCAUGUCGGUUGCUGAUUCCUGACAAUUCAUCAGUUCGGAGAUCAUCGAGGUAGCUGCCUUGGAAUCCGCAGACCUUGACUCUCCUCUUUUAUCUUUUAGUCUUAUUUAUACUGUUCUACAUUCCUAGGCAGUGCUCCAUUGGUCAAACUAUGUUGAUAUGUAGAUGCUUAUGUACUCCGUGACACCUAGAUCUUUUGGGAGAAUUUUAUACGAAGUUUCGAUGUUUAUAUCCAAUUUUUACGAGAUUCUUAAUUA